rnacentral:rRNA from 1 species
CAUGCAGCCGAGCGGUAGAAGAUCUUCGGAUCUUUGAGAGCGGCGCACGGGUGCGGAACACGUGUGCAACCUACCUUUAUCAGGGGGAUAGCCUUUCGAAAGGAAGAUUAAUACCCCAUAAUAUAUUAAGUGGCAUCACUUGAUAUUGAAAACUCCGGUGGAUAGAGAUGGGCACGCGCAGGAUUAGAUAGUUGGUAGGGUAACGGCCUACCAAGUCAACGAUCCUUAGGGGGCCUGAGAGGGUGAUCCCCCACACUGGUACUGAGACACGGACCAGACUCCUACGGGAGGCAGCAGUGAGGAAUAUUGGACAAUGGGUGAGAGCCUGAUCCAGCCAUCCCGCGUGAAGGACGACGGCCCUAUGGGUUGUAAACUUCUUUUGUAUAGGGAUAAACCUACUCUCGUGAGAGUAGCUGAAGGUACUAUACGAAUAAGCACCGGCUAACUCCGUGCCAGCAGCCGCGGUAAUACGGAGGGUGCAAGCGUUAUCCGGAUUUAUUGGGUUUAAAGGGUCCGUAGGCUGAUUUGUAAGUCAGUGGUGAAAUCUCACAGCUUAACUGUGAAACUGCCAUUGAUACUGCAAGUCUUGAGUGUUGUUGAAGUAGCUGGAAUAAGUAGUGUAGCGGUGAAAUGCAUAGAUAUUACUUAGAACACCAAUUGCGAAGGCAGGUUACUAAGCAACAACUGACGCUGAUGGACGAAAGCGUGGGGAGCGAACAGGAUUAGAUACCCUGGUAGUCCACGCCGUAAACGAUGCUAACUCGUUUUUGGGGCUUUAAGCUUCAGAGACUAAGCGAAAGUGAUAAGUUAGCCACCUGGGGAGUACGUUCGCAAGAAUGAAACUCAAAGGAAUUGACGGGGGCCCGCACAAGCGGUGGAUUAUGUGGUUUAAUUCGAUGAUACGCGAGGAACCUUACCAAGGCUUAAAUGGGAAAUGACAGGUUUAGAAAUAGACUUUUCUUCG